rnacentral:rRNA from 1 species
GCUCAGGAUGAACGCUGGCGGCGCGCCUAACACAUGCAAGUCGAACGAGCGAGAGAGAGCUUGCUUUCUCGAGCGAGUGGCGAACGGGUGAGUAACGCGUGAGGAACCUGCCUCAAAGAGGGGGACAACAGUUGGAAACGACUGCUAAUACCGCAUAAGCCCACGGCUCGGCAUCGAGCAGAGGGAAAAGGAGCAAUCCGCUUUGAGAUGGCCUCGCGUCCGAUUAGCUAGUUGGUGAGGUAACGGCCCACCAAGGCGACGAUCGGUAGCCGGACUGAGAGGUUGAACGGCCACAUUGGGACUGAGACACGGCCCAGACUCCUACGGGAGGCAGCAGUA